GACAGAAAGGGCGGUUGGCGAGGUGAACGACAGAAACAAAUUUUUUUUUUUUUAAUAUAGCCCAAUAUCACAAAUUCUCCUCAGAGGGCUUUCCAAUCUGUACACGUACGACAUCCCUGACCUUUGACCUCACGUCGGAUCAGGAAAAACUCCCAAGAAAUCGAAACACCCCCUUUCAGGGGGAAUAAAGCGGCGGGACAGCGAUGACGCGCGGAGCAACUCAAGAGCUGAUUGGCCCGAGUUGCGAGCUUACCGCCUCAAAGUUGAAAUAUUUCAACUAGGGGGGCGAAAAUUGCGCCGCUGAAAACACGUCGCCCAGAAAAGUGUUGCGUCUAUCGCAGCCACACGCGUCUGUACGUUGACUUCACGGGAUUCGGUCCUGCGAACAAAUAGCGUCGCUUUGGUGUGAACGCACCUUUACAGUCGGUCGCUUUUGCUUUCACACAGAAUAUCCUGGACCGACUGAAGCGAGCGGAACGAGCAUCGACCAGCGCAAAGACGGCACACUUUAUUACGCCUUCCAACCUCGACACGGACCAAGAUCUGCUUCUUUUGUUCUUCCCUUUCACAAUAAAAGCCCUGGACGGAGAAUAUUUGUUCUCUUUGUCGUUGGGCUGCAGGACAAGAAAGCCUCAAACUCCUGAAACAUUGACACAUCCUGUGUGACGUCACAUGCUCAACAGGAAAAACCAAGUUAAAGGCACAAGAAGCAAAGAGGAACCACUGCAACGCCCAAAAACCAACCGCAACCAAAUGGGGACUCGCAGAGCCGACGUGUUCACGGGAGUUUUACUCUCAAACUGCAUAAAUCACAAUAAUUAGCAUCGUGAAAACAUGGAAACUAAAUAUUUGAUCACACCCAAAGGGAUUGCGACAAAAAAAAACACAUUCGUAAAUUAUUUUUUAAAAUUCACCAACGGCUAUAAUCAAUAUUUCACCCGAUCAGAUGAUGGAGUCGCUUUCAGCGGCAAACCGACGGAGAAACUAGCCGUGAGCAAUUUGCAUCUCCUCUCCGUCUUUAUGGGGCUGGUUUGGCGUCAUCUUCGUGAAUUUAAAAGGAAAACUAAAAACAUCUUUUCCGACUAUAUCUAGAUUAAAACACAGAUUAGCACUCCAGUGACACUUAAAUAGCUCUUAUUAUGGUACUUUUGUAGUUCGACUAUGUUGAGGAAAUGUUACUUUCUGUAUUCUUGUUGUUCUUAGUUUGUACUCUAGGUUGAUGCACUUAUUGUAAGUCGCUUUGGAUAAAAGCGUCUGCUAAAUGACAUGGAAUGUAAUGUAAAAAAAAAGGUGUGAUGUGGUCACGGCUCAUUGCCUCAAAGUUGCCAAAGGGUUCAUAUUACAGGUUGGAUGAAAGGGCUAGAUGCAGGCGAGACAGUUUCUCAUCGUCUGUGACCUUUGACCUCCAGCUGGGCUUUGAAGCAUAAAUUCAAAAGGUAUAAACCGGUGUAAUCUUCCCUGGUUUCCUCAGGCCGACGAGUCUCCUUUACACAUUUAAGUGAGCGCUCGGCGCCAUUCGAUGCCCAAUAAGGCCAGCGAGGAGGAAUGUCUAUGAACCCAGGAGGGAGUCACACGGCUCACGGGGGCCACGCCCACCGAUCCAGAUCUCUCCAGACCUCCAAGCUGCCCGGCAGACUCCUUCUUGGACUCGUUUCCUUUUCCUCAUCUCUCUGUCCCGGUUUGUUUACAUAAAAGCGAUAACAUCUCGAAGAGGCUGGAGCGUCCAUUGUCUGAACUACGACUAAUUAAAAUGUGCAUUGUG